AGUGUAAUAGGCACUACUUUGCAUGAAGAAAAGAAUAGAUAUAAGAGUAGAAUUAGAAGGAAAUUAGAGACGCGUUAGAGAAUCUAACGCUAGUAUUAGAAGAAUUGUGCAAGAGGUGAACAGGACGUUGAAUUGAUAACAGCCAAGCUUAACUAUAAACAGCCGGUUUGUUUUAUGCCCAUUCAGCUUGUUAAAGGCUUACCUCCCAUUGGGUGGAGAUUAAAACGUCAUUCAUUUUGCUUGAUAUUAUUGGCUAUGGAAAUCUAUGACGUAUGCCUCGACACCUCUCGGACAAUCCUCAAGUCACUUUUAGCAGGAUUAGCAGCCAAUCACCAAGAUAGUACAGACGCACAACCCGUGUCGCUCUGACUUGAGUUACUCAAAGACUUAGACUCUGAUCAAGACGCAAGAGUCUUAAUAACUUUGCUUAUAAUCUUAGUCGUGUGAUUGAGUAGUAAAGAAGUGCACUGUUGUUGAGCUGUAAAGACAAUUUAUAUUUUCUAAAUAAACUGCAACACGCCAGACUAACUUUGAUAACCCACUUGCACAAGGAUGUUGUGAGUGAUGAUUAUCGAGAAAGAAAAUCGUCGUCUCCGAUACCAAGCUACGCCCACCGACACAUAGUCGCCACAGAGGCUAGAGACAGUGUACACACAAACACAGCCAACACAGUGGUGGCAGCGGUGGGAUUCUGAAGCCUAAACAACCUCCGAAGAGUAAGAAGAGUUUACAAACAUUAGAAACAAACAGCAGCAACGGAAACAACAGCAAUAACGCUUCCCCAGCCAACACAGUGAGUCAAGGUCAACCCCGCAAGUGUGCACAAGUCCCACACCGCGCCGCACCUCAUCACACUCCCGAGCCACUACUCACACGAUCAAACUCAAGAGUAACUCUCAAUUAAUACCACCAAACAACGAGACCAAUAUCUAAAUACUAAGAAGAGACUUAGAAGAGGAAACCGCAGCCAGAGACGAGAGCAGGAUCAGCGCCGCCCCAGCAGCCGCCGCACACAGCCAUCAGCCACAGCACGCCGCCACCAGCAGCCGCUGCACACAGCCAUCAGCCAAAGCACGCCGCCACUAGCAGCCGCCGCUCAAGAGGACAUCGCUACUCACUUGUCUAUACUUUGGUAACAGUAUUCAACCUGUCAUUCAUUAAUGUAAUUAUAUUCAUGUAAUAUUUUAUCUAAUACCCAGUGCACCAACAGUUUAUGUAUGCCUGAGGAGUGACUGAGCACGAAGAAACAUUGAGUAUAACUGCCUUAUUGUAGAGCGUCUCCCAACAUUAUCACACGCACUAAUCAUCAUAGGACAAGGUAUAGAUGAAACAAGUGGCAUGCAUGUUCUCAGCUAUAGUAGUUCUAGCAACAGCCUGGGACCCUGUGAGGCCCGGAGCUUUAGUAAGGAAAAUCGGCGACAUGAUCAUUGUGAACCACUCAGUAAGAGUACUAUUGAAAUUUGACAAUAUAAAUGUUGUAAGAGAAAAUGUCAGACAUAUCGAUAACGGUUUACAGAUGGUAAAAGACAAAUUGAUAAUUAGUAAGAUAUCCAAUGUGAGAUUAGAGAAGAAAUUAGAUGCUAUACAGACGAAGGUCACCAAAAUAGAAAAUAACUUCCUACAUAGCAAAAGCAAAAAAGGAGUAGGUAUCGCAAUAGCGAUCGGAUCGUUAGUAGGUCUUGGAGUAACAAAUAUUGGUUUGUAUGCAGAACUUCGCUCAAAUGUAAAUAAUCUACAAAACUCAGUGUCUAGAAUCGAUGUCUUACAAGAAGAAACAGAAGAUAUACAACUUACCAUAGAUGAGAUGAUUAAUAGCAUAGAAACCUUAAGCACAGAGAACUCUAAAUUGAAGGAAUCCCUGGAAAUUUUCAUGGUCUUGGAUCAGUUGCACAUUAAGAUAAAUGAACUAAAUGCUGAAAUGGAACAGUUAAUUCAAGACUUAGUUAUGGCUAAUGCUGGACAUGUUACAUACACAUUAUUUGCAAUAUCACAACUUCUAAACAUAACUCAACAAGCAAAA